rnacentral:ncRNA from 1 species
GCGCUGAUCGGUAACCAGCGCCUGACUAAAUAAGGAG